rnacentral:rRNA from 1 species
UGACUCUGGAAUAAGCGCUGGAAACGGCGUCUAAUACCGGAUACGAGCUGCGAAGGCAUCUUCAGCAGCUGGAAAGAAUUUCGGUCAGGGAUGAGCUCGCGGCCUAUCAGCUUGUUGGUGAGGUAAUGGCUCACCAAGGCGUCGACGGGUAGCCGGCCUGAGAGGGUGACCGGCCACACUGGGACUGAGACACGGCCCAGACUCCUACGGGAGGCAGCAGUGGGGAAUAUUGCACAAUGGGCGAAAGCCUGAUGCAGCAACGCCGCGUGAGGGAUGACGGCCUUCGGGUUGUAAACCUCUUUUAGCAAGGAAGAAGCGAAAGUGACGGUACUUGCAGAAAAAGCGCCGGCUAACUACGUGCCAGCAGCCGCGGUAAUACGUAGGGCGCAAGCGUUAUCCGGAAUUAUUGGGCGUAAAGAGCUCGUAGGCGGUCUGUCGCGUCUGCUGUGAAAACCCGAGGCUCAACCUCGGGCCUGCAGUGGGUACGGGCAGACUAGAGUGCGGUAGGGGAGAUUGGAAUUCCUGGUGUAGCGGUGGAAUGCGCAGAUAUCAGGAGGAACACCGAUGGCGAAGGCAGAUCUCUGGGCCGUAACUGACGCUGAGGAGUGAAAGGGUGGGGAGCAAACAGGCUUAGAUACCCUGGUAGUCCACCCCGUAAACGUUGGGAACUAGUUGUGGGGUCCAUUCCACGGAUUCCGUGACGCAGCUAACGCAU